AGCAGCCGCGGUAAUUCCAGCUCCAAUAGCGUAUAUUAAAGUUGCUGCAGUUAAAAAGCUCGUAGUUGAAUUUCGGGACUAAUAUGUCGGUCGUGCCUCGGUACGUACUGGCUUAUUGGUUUCUCCUUUCUGAAGAACUAUGAUGUCAUUUAUUUGGUGUCGUGGGGAAUCAGGACUGUUACUUUGAAAAAAUUAGAGUGUUUAAAGCAGGCUCACGCUUGAAUACAUUAGCAUGGAAUAAUGAAAUAGGACGUUUGAUUCUAUUUUGUUGGUUUCUAGGAUCGACGUAAUGAUUAAUAGGGAUAGUUGGGGGCAUUAGUAUUCAAUUGUCAGAGGUGAAAUUCUUGGAUUUAUUGAAGACUAACUACUGCGAAAGCAUUUGCCAAGGAUGUUUUCAUUAAUCAAGAACGAAAGUUAGGGGAUCGAAGACGAUCAGAUACCGUCGUAGUUUUAACCAUAAACUAUGCCGACUAGGGAUCGGAUGAUGUUAAUUUUUUAAUGACUCA
rnacentral:rRNA from 1 species